GGGGUUGUGGCUUAGUGGGAAAGCACUUGCCUUGCACAUGUGAGGCCCUGAGUUCGAUCCUCAGCAUCACAU
rfam:Ictidomys tridecemlineatus contig028882, whole genome shotgun sequence.